rnacentral:Y_RNA from 1 species
GGUUGGUGUGAGUGCAGUGGGGUUUGCAGCUAGUUGAUAGCAGCCACUUACAGAUAUUUUUGUUUCUUCUCCACUCAGAUUUGACUAGCUUAAA